rnacentral:rRNA from 1 species
GCGAACGCUGGCGGCAGGCCUAACACAUGCAAGUCGAACGAACCUUUCGGGGUUAGUGGCGGACGGGUGAGUAACACGUGGGAACGUGCCUUUAGGUUCGGAAUAACUCAGGGAAACUUGUGCUAAUACCGAAUGUGCCCUUCGGGGGAAAGAUUUAUCGCCUUUAGAGCGGCCCGCGUCUGAUUAGCUAGUUGGUUGAGGUAAUGGCUCACCAAGGCGACGAUCAGUAGCUGGUCUGAGAGGAUGAUCAGCCACAUUGGGACUGAGACACGGCCCAAACUCCUACGGGAGGCAGCAGUGGGGAAUCUUGCGCAAUGGGCGAAAGCCUGACGCAACCAUGCCGCGUGAAUGAUGAAGGUCUUAGGAUUGUAAAAUUCUUUCACCGGGGACGAUAAUGACGGUACCCGGAGAAGAAGCCCCGGCUAACUUCGUG